UACGUAGGGUGCAAGCGUUAAUCGGAAUUACUGGGCGUAAAGCGUGCGCAGGCGGUUUUGUAAGUUUGUCGUGAAAGCCCCGGGCUCAACCUGGGAAUGGCGAUGAAGACUGCAAGGCUUGAAUCUGGCAGAGGGGGGUAGAAUUCCACGUGUAGCAGUGAAAUGCGUAGAGAUGUGGAGGAACACCGAUGGCGAAGGCAGCCCCCUGGGUCAAGAUUGACGCUCAUGCCACGAAAGCGUGGGGAGCAAACAGG
rnacentral:rRNA from 1 species